rnacentral:rRNA from 1 species
GCCAGACUCCUACGGGAGGCAGCAGUGGGGGAUAUUGCACAAUGGGGGGAACCCUGAUGCAGCGACGCCGCGUGGGUGAAGGAGCGUUUCGGCGCGUAAAGCCCUCUCGGCAGGGAAGAAGGAGGACGGUACCUGACUAAGAAGCCCCGGCUAACUACGUGCCAGCAGCCGCAGUAAUACGUAGGGGGCAAGCGUUAUCCGGAUUUACUGGGUGUAAAGGGGGCGCAGACGGCAGCGCAAGCCAGGGGUGAAAGCCCGGGGCCCAACCCCGGGACUGCUCUUGGAACUGCGCGGCUGGAGUGCAGGAGGGGAAGGCGGAAUUCCUGGGGUAGCGGUGAAAUGCGUAGAUAUCAGGAGGAACACCGGUGGCGAAGGCGGCCUGCUGGACUGCGACUGACGUUGAGGCCCGAAAGCGUGGGGAGCAAACAGGAUUAGAUACCCUUGUAA